rnacentral:rRNA from 1 species
ACCCGUAAUCCGGGUUGCGGACAGUGUCUGGUGGGUAGUUUGACUGGGGCGGUCUCCUCCUAAAGAGUAACGGAGGAGCACGAAGGUUGGCUAAUCCUGGUCGGACAUCAGGAGGUUAGUGCAAUGGCAUAAGCCAGCUUGACUGCGAGCGUGACGGCGCGAGCAGGUGCGAAAGCAGGUCAUAGUGAUCCGGUGGUUCUGAAUGGAAGGGCCAUCGCUCAACGGAUAAAAGGUACUCCGGGGAUAACAGGCUGAUACCGCCCAAGAGUUCAUAUCGACGGCGGUGUUUGGCACCUCGAUGUCGGCUCAUCACAUCCUGGGGCUGAAGUAGGUCCCAAGGGUAUGGCUGUUCGCCAUUUAAAGUGGUACGCGAGCUGGGUUUAGAACGUCGUGAGACAGUUCGGUCCCUAUCUGCCGUGGGCGCUGGAGAACUGAGGGGGGCUGCUCCUAGUACGAGAGGACCGGAGUGGACGCAUCACUGGUGUUCGGGUUGUCAUGCCAAUGGCACUGCCCGGUAGCUAAAUGCGGAAGAGAUAAGUGCUGAAAGCAUCUAAGCACGAAACUUGCCCCGAGAUGAGUUCUCCCUGAGACUUAAAGUCUCCUGAAGGAACGUUGAAGACGACGACGUUGAUAGGCCGGGUGUGUAAGCGC